GACGAACGCUGGCGGCGUGCUUAACACAUGCAAGUCGAACGGAAAGGCCCCCUUGUGGGGUACUCGAGUGGCGAACGGGUGAGUAACACGUGAGUAAACUACCCUUGACUUUGGGAUAACUUCAGGAAACUGGGGCUAAUACCGGAUAGGAGCUCCUGCUGCAUGGUGGGGGUUGGAAAGUUUCGGCGGUUGGGGAUGGACUCGCGGCUUAUCAGCUUGUUGGUGGGGUAGUGGCUCACCAAGGCUUUGACGGGUAGCCGGCCUGAGAGGGUGACCGGCCACAUUGGGACUGAGAUACGGCCCAGACUCCUACGGGAGGCAGCAGUGGGGAAUAUUGCACAAUGGGCGGAAGCCUGAUGCAGCAACGCCGCGUGCGGGAUGACGGCCUUCGGGUUGUAAACCGCUUUCGCCUGUGACGAAGCGUGAGUGACGGUAAUGGGUAAAGAAGCACCGGCUAACUACGUG
rnacentral:rRNA from 1 species